UAAUGAUGGGGAGAAGGAGUCAUAGAGGCAUGUGAAGUAAACGAGAUGUAUCUGCCUUGCGGCAGCCAAGCGUUCAUAAUGAUAUUGCUUUUGAUCCUUCGAUGUCGGUUCUUCCUAUCAUACUGGAGCAGAAAUCAGUAAGCGUUGGAUUGUUCACCCACUAAUAGGGAACGUGAGCUGUGUUUAGACUGCCGUAAGGCAGCUUAAUAUUAUUCGUCUGAUGAAAUGUUGUUGCAUUAGUAGUACGAGAGGAACCGUUCAUUCGGAUAAAUGGUAUUUGGUCCUGCCUGGCCAGGCAGUAGCCCGAAGCUAAUAUCCGUUGGAUUAUGGCUGAACGCCUCUAAGUCGGGAUCCGUGCUAGAGCGCGGCGGUUACUGCCUUUUCUGACAAUUAGUUGAAUACAAAUAGUGCUUCGGCUCCUGAAUCAUGCUACGCGGAGCCAAUAUCCAGGGCUAAAAGUCUUGUGUGGUGCCUGCCAAUGUUAAUUUCCAAUAUUGGAAGAUAUAUAUCCAUUGCAAGCGAGUUUAAAGCAGUGCUGCACUAUAAGUCGUAGUGUAGCCUUGCCGCUACAGAUUUGUCUCAAAGAACAAACAUUUCUCUCUCCUUGU
rnacentral:ncRNA from 1 species